rnacentral:misc_RNA from 1 species
UGGCUCUAGCAUCGAUGAAGAACGCAGCGAAAUGCGAUACGUAGUGUGAAUUGCAGAAUUCAGUGAAUCAUCGAAUCUUUGAACGCACAUUGCGCCCGCCAGCAUUCUGGCGGGCAUGCCUGUCCGAGCGUCAUUUCGAACCCCUCAGGCCCUGGCUUGCCUGGUGUUGGGGACCCCGCAGGCGCCAGCCCGCAGGCCCCGAAAGACAGUGGCGGAUCCGCCGCGGCCCCGAGCGCAGUAAUACCAUUCUCGUUCGGCGCGCCGGCCGGUGGGCACAGCCGUGAAACAAAAAACCCCCCCGCCCACCCGCGGGGACCCAGUGGUUUGACCUCGGAUCAGGUAGGAAUACCCGCUGA